ensembl:misc_RNA Y_RNA Y RNA
GGUUGGUCUGAGUUCAGUGGUGUUUACAACUAAUUGAUCACAACCAGUUACAGAUUCCUUUGUUCCUUCUCCACUCCCACUGCUCCACUUGACCAGCCUUUA